GGCUCACCAAGGCGACGACGGGUAGCCGGCCUGAGAGGGUGACCGGCUACACUGGGACUGAGACACGGCCCAGACUCCUACGGGAGGCAGCAGUGGGGAAUAUUGCACAAUGGGCGAAAGCCUGAUGCAGCGACGCCGCGUGAGGGAUGACGGCCUUCGGGUUGUAAACCUCUUUCAGUAGGGAACAAGGCCAGUGUUUAGCUGGUUGAGGGUACUUGCAGAAGAAGCGCCGGCUAACUACGUGCCAGCAGCCGCGGUAAUACGUAGGGCGCAAGCGUUAUCCGGAAUUAUUGGGCGUAAAGAGCUCGUAGGCGGUUUGUCGCGUCUGCCGUGAAAGUCCGGGGCUCAACUCCGGAUCUGCGGUGGGUACGGGCAGACUAGAGUGAUGUAGGGGAGACUGGAAUUCCUGGUGUAGCGGUGAAAUGCGCAGAUAUCAGGAGGAACACCGAUGGCGAAGGCAGGUCUCUGGGCAUUAACUGACGCUGAGGAGCGAAAGCAUGGGGAGCGAGCAGGAUUAGAUACCCUGGUAGUCCAUGCCGUAAACGUUGGGCACUAGGUGUGGGGGACAUUCCACGUUUUCCGCGCCGUAGCUAACGCAUUAAGUGCCCCGCCUGGGGAGUACGGCCGCAAGGCUAAAACUCAAAGGAAUUGACGGGGGCCCGCACAAGCGGCGGAGCAUGCGGAUUAAUUCGAUGCAACGCGAAGAACCUUACCAAGGCUUGACAUGAACUGGAAAUACCUGGAAACAGGUGCCCCGCUUGCGGUCGGUUUACAGGUGGUGCAUGGUUGUCGUCAGCUCGUGUCGUGAGAUGUUGGGUUAAGUCCCGCAACGAGCGCAACCCUCGUUCUAUGUUGCCAGCACGUUAUGGUGGGGACUCAUAGGAGACUGCCGGGGUCAACUCGGAGGAAGGUGAGGACGACGUCAAAUCAUCAUGCCCCUUAUGUCUUGGGCUUCACGCAUGCUACAAUGGCCGGUACAAUGGGUUGCGAUACUGUGAGGUGGAGCUAAUCCCAAAAAGCCGGUCUCAGUUCGGAUUGGGGUCUGCAACUCGACCCCAUGAAGUCGGAGUCGCUAGUAAUCGCAGAUCAGCAACGCUGCGGUGAAUACGUUCCCGGGCCUUGUACACACCGCCCGUCAAGUCACGAAAGUUGGUAACACCCGAAGCCGG
rnacentral:rRNA from 1 species